GAGCGAACGCUGGCGGCAGGCUUAACACAUGCAAGUCGAGCGCCCCGCAAGGGGAGCGGCAGACGGGUGAGUAACACGUGGGAACGUGCCCUUCAGUUCGGAACAACCCAGGGAAACUUGGGCUAAUACCGGAUACGCCCUAACGGGGAAAGAUUUAUCGCUGAAGGAGCGGCCCGCGUCUGAUUAGCUAGUUGGUGGGGUAAUGGUCCACCAAGGCGACGAUCAGUAGUUGGUCUGAGAGGAUGAUCAGCCACACUGGGACUGAGACACGGCCCAG
rnacentral:rRNA from 1 species